AAGUACCAACCAUGGAUAAUUAACCCUGAAUGUAAACGGCUUGCACUCAUCAAACAUUAUAGAUAAAUAGACUGGAUUGAAAAACAAAACCC